UACGAAGGGGACUAGCGUUGUUCGGAAUUACUGGGCGUAAAGCGCACGUAGGCGGCUUUGUAAGUCAGAGGUGAAAGCCUGGAGCUCAACUCCAGAACUGCCUUUGAGACUGCAUCGCUUGAAUCCAGGAGAGGUGAGUGGAAUUCCGAGUGUAGAGGUGAAAUUCGUAGAUAUUCGGAAGAACACCAGUGGCGAAGGCGGCUCACUGGACUGGUAUUGACGCUGAGGUGCGAAAGCGUGGGGAGCAAACAGG
rnacentral:rRNA from 1 species